UACGGAGGGAGCUAGCGUUGUUCGGAUCUACUGGGCGUAAAGCGCACGUAGGCGGCGCCGUAAGUCAGGGGUGAAAUCCCGGAGCUCAACUCCGGAACUGCCCUUGAAACUGCAGUGCUAGAAUCUUGGAGAGGCGAGUGGAAUUCCGAGUGUAGAGGUGAAAUUCGUAGAUAUUCGGAAGAACACCAGUGGCGAAGGCGACUCGCUGGACAAGUAUUGACGCUGAGGUGCGAAAGCGUGGGGAGCAAACAGG
rnacentral:rRNA from 1 species